AACCCAUGUUAAGGGCAUUUCUGCAAGAGCUCAUUGAACCUAUCCCAUGUCUCAAAUAAAGAUUCCAAUUCCGUUUGCACAAAAGAGGAUAUUUAAUUCCUAAGCUU